UUGCAGGAGCCCAUAAGAAACUUCCCUCAAUCAAUGAUCUCACUUUCACAAGCAAUGAUAUCUCUUGCAAGAUUGGAUAAGUACAUGUUAAGUAGGGAAUUGGUGAAUGAGUCGGUGGAAAGAGUGGAGGGCUGUGAUGAUAAUAUUGCUGUGGAGGUUAGAGAUGGGGUGUUUAGCUGGGAUGAUGAAAAUGGGGAAGAGUGUUUGAAAAAUAUAAAUUUGGAAAUAAAGAAAGGUGACCUUACUGCUAUUGUUGGGACUGUGGGAUCUGGAAAGUCCUCUCUCCUUGCCUCCAUUCUUGGUGAGAUGCACAA
rnacentral:lncRNA from 1 species